rnacentral:tRNA from 2 species
GGACGUGGCUCAGUGGUAGAGCAUCGCCUUGCCAAGGCGAGGGUCGAGGGUUCGAAUCCCUUCGUCCG